AUUGAACGCUGGCGGCAGGCCUAACACAUGCAAGUCGAGCGGAUGAAGGGAGCUUGCUCCUGGAUUCCGCGGCGGACGGGUGAGUAAUGCCUAGGAAUCUGCCUGGUAGUGGGGGAUAACGUCCGGAAACGGGCGCUAAUCCCGCAUCCGUCCUGAGGGAGAAAGUGGGGGAUCUUCGGACCUCACGCUAUCAGCUGAGCCUAGGUCGGAUUAGCUAGUUGGUGGGGUAAAGGCCUACCAAGGCGACGAUCCGUAACUGGUCUGAGAGGAUGAUCAGUCACACUGGAACUGAGACACGGUCCAGACUCCUACGGGAGGCAGCAGUGGGGAAUAUUGGACAAUGGGCGAAAGCCUGAUCCAGCCAUGCCGCGUGUGUGAAGAAGGUCUUCGGAUUGUAAAGCACUUUAAGUUGGGAGGAAGGGCAGUAAGUUAAUACCUUGCUGUUUUGACGUUACCAACAGAAUAAGCACCGGCUAACUUCGUG
rnacentral:rRNA from 1 species